rnacentral:rRNA from 1 species
GAUGAACGUUGGCGGCGUGCCUAACACAUGCAAGUCGAACGGUGGUAGCAAUACUACAGUGGCGCACGGGUGAGUAACACGUAGCUUACCUCCCUCUCAGCGCGGGAUAACGACUCGAAAGAGUUGCUAAUACCGCAUAAGCUCACGGCUUCCAGAGAGUUGUGAGAAAAGGUGCAAAUCACUGAGAGACGGGGCUGCGGCCCAUCAGCUAGUUGGCGCGGUAACGGCGCACCAAGGCGACGACGGUAGGGGACCUGAGAGGGU